rnacentral:lncRNA from 1 species
UCAAUAUACAACUAAAUCUCUGCAAAUGAGCCGGAAACAAUAUACACAUCAACAAUUACACAAAAUCAAACAAAACCUUAACUAAAAAGCAGAAAACUCACAUGGAGAAACUCCAGCUUGUCUUAGAGGUUUUUGAGAGCAGUUCGAAUAGCAAUUAAAAGACUUGGCCUCACAAAUAGCCAAAUCAUCACCCGAAAACCCCUUAACAAAAACAAACCCAUUCCCAUUCUCCUCAUACCCCCAAACCCAUUUCUCUUCCGCCCCGGAUCUGCCCGAAGAACUGAUUUACCACCAAGAAUGAGUUUGCAAAAAUCACAGUUAGGGUUCGGAGGGGGAGAGUGAUUGAGUAAUGGAGGUGGAAGUAUAGAGAUGAGUUGGUAAGUGUAGCUGUUUGGGGGCCGAUUGUAGGGUUUGAGAUUUGUGAUUAGUCUCGUCAGUUUAUUUUGGGGAGAGAGAUAUUGAGAGAGAGAUUGAGGGAGAGAGAAUUAUGUUUUUCUGAUUUUUGGGGUUAAAAAAAUUUGGGGACUGAAGGUUUGAAAGGGGGAAUAUUUUGGUGUUUAUUUUGUUUGAUUUUGGGGUUAAAAGAAUUGGGGGGAACGAAAAUUUGACUAAGGGCGGAAAUAUACAGGAAAUAUUUGGGGGAGGGGGGAAAGACAUGGUUGCCGCGCGCUUUUUGUUUUUAAUUCAAAGAAGAUAGACAUCGGUUCUUAUAUUAACUGAUGUCAAAAAUGUAAUAGACAUCGGUUAAUUUUUAGCCGAUGUUAAUACAAGCUUUUACAUCGUGGCCAAAGUCGACCGAUGUCUAUACCCUGAUGUCUAUUCUACUUUUUCUAGUAGUG